rnacentral:tRNA from 1 species
GGGGCCAUAGGGUAGCUUGGAUUAUCCUUCCAGCUUUGGGAGUUGGCGACCCCGGUUCAAAUCCGGGUGGCCCCA